UGUCAGACUCAGUUUGUUCGUGUUGUAGCCUGUUAACAGUAGACCAAAGGUAUGAUGAUCAAUUAUAAAUGCAAUAUGGUUGAAAGGUCAGUAAACAAACAACAAAAAGGUAAUUUCUUAAUAGAAUGUCUAUACAUUUUUUGCUUUUGUUACAUAUUUCAUACAUCAAAAUCAUUAAACGUUAAUAAUUAUGUAUUCCAACUUGUUGCAGCUUGACAAAAAUGUAGCUUGAAGGAGAAGGGACAGCUGAGUAACAAAGUCCUGGUACGCAGACGACGAUACUAUUACACUGACAAGAGUGUAAUGAUGAUGGAGACACAAGCCAGAGAAAGGGGGGACCAAACACCAGGCCAGAAUUCUGCAUGAGUCAGAUCCAGUGGGUGCAGAUCAUCAUACAGAUGGUUCAAGUGUGGAUCCACCUAAUAUUCAAGAUUUUCUGUCCUGGGACACUCGGCUAACCAUCAAGAAAGAAAACACUCCAGUGGGCAUCCUUUAUCCAUCCAGACCCUCAUACAGAUGGUUGGAGUUUUGAUUCACCUAAAGUACCAUGCAAGAGCACUCAUUUUCACUCUUGAGACCAUGGUGUGACCUGCAAGGUCGAAUGGAGACUGUAAACGAGACAAUCUUGGAGUCACCUGCAUUCACUGGUCCAGUUGUUAGUCCAAUUACAGAUGGAGAUUAUAGAAGAGGAUGAUGUCUUUUCUCCAACAUCUUUCUAGACUGAUAAAAGAUCUAGACAGGCUUGAACAAAAGUUAACAGAGGGGCUUAUAUAGAGAAUGGUGAGCAGCUACACAUAAAAGAAGAACAUGGAGAAUCUGCCCAGAGGUGUUAACCAGCAAUGCAGCUAUACAACUAAAUUGAUGCAGGCGGAAACAAUAAUGCAGCUGCUGCAGAUGAAGAAUCUGUCCGUCUACCACUGAAGGAGACGCGGAAAAUCGGGAAAAGAUGUUCUUUGCCCGAGGAAGCAUUUGAUUAAUUUAAAGAUAUUGUGUUUCUUUGUAUGUUAUAGAAAAACAUUGCUUUUUUUGCAUACACUCGUGUAAAUAUGCAUCUUAUGAAUGUUUUCCUUUGUCUAAUUUUAAUAAAUUUUACGCAAUCAACUGCCUGUUUUAUUGAAAAAACUGUUUUAAUUGUUGUCAAUGAUAUAUUGUAAUAAUAUGUGUGUAUAACUGUGUAGAAGAUGUAGUUUAGAGCAAUUUAUUUUUAAUGAUCUUUUAAUCGUCUUUUAAAGCUCUCAGAAACAUCUUAGAAAGAGCUCGAUUAAAGCUCUUAUAAAGAUCUUUUAAAGAUCUAAGAAACAUCUUGGAAAUAUCUUAGAAACAUCUGCUAACCAUCAUUCUAAAUAUCAAGCGUCUUGAAAAGAUCUUAAAAGCGUCUUCAAAACGGCUGGGCUCGUACGUCUCAGAUACGUAAUUCAUAUGGGCAAACGACCUUUAUAAUACGUUUUCCAGACGGAAUGGAAAUCUGAGUGAUUACCUCGCAGAUACGUAUCUGAGACGUA